CUCACUCUCUGGCUUGCCCCAGUCGAAUCCCUAGCUCGCCGCUGCCGCCGCCGCCUCUCCCUCGCACUCGUCGCCAGCGCCUCUCCGUCGCCCGUGUUGCCGACGCCUAUCCGUCGCCCGCGUCGCUCUGCCUCUCCCUCACGCGUCGUCGCCGCCACUCCAUUGGCCCUCUCGUCCUCACCCCUUCAGGACCCCAUUUUUACUUUCCGAUAGGUGGAUCCGAAGCGCGGCGGCUCGACCUGCAACGCCGUCAGCUGCGGGCUUUAAUCUGGAGCUCCAUGGCGUCGCACAAGUGUGGCGGCCAGAUGGAGCGGAUUCAUUGCUCCUGCGUGCACCGGGCGCUCCGCGGCCUCAUGUUCAGCAGCAGCAACAAGGCCAGCAACGGCUGGAGGGAGGUGCAGGGUAACUUCAUCCCCUUCUGCUGUUGCCCAAUGUCGAGGACGGUCCAGGAGCCGCCGCUCGUCCUGGCGGUGGACGACAGCCUCGUCGACUGCGUGGUCAUCUCCUGGAUCCUCCGCAGCUCCAAAUACAGAGCCAAUUCUGAAACGUUUGCAAGUCAGUUCAUCCUAUUAACCUCGCCUGAAUAAAUGUUCUGAAGUGUUUUAGGUGGACACAUUGCUGGAGCCGUGUGGCACUCCUAAUGGUCUCAAGCAUACUCCCGUAAAACAUUUGGAGUACAUUUGUUGGUUGAAGUACCAAGAUAUUGGUGGAACUUCAUUCAAGGAGUAAAACAUUUCCAGUACCAAGAUUGCAGUAAAUUUUGUGGAACUUCACUGCUUGAGACCAUGUUAAUGAUGAUGCUUGUGCAGUACCAAGAUUCAGUAUCAGUAGCCGAGUGUUGGUUGAAGUGACUGUUCAAUUGUUCAGUGUCCGUUUUGUUAUCUUCAUUUCAGAAAUUUAUCUUUCCAUUCCUUCUUCCUAUCCUUCAUGUAGAGACUAUACUGCUUUACUUCAAACAAGUUUUCUUUAAAACCAAAUGAAUUAGGACUUGCAUUUUAGUUUAAAGUUUAUGCGCCUAAUUUAAAGUUUAAUUUCCCAGUAGAUUUUGAAUGUCUUUUCUUGGUUCUCUACCAGAAAACACACUACUCCAUUUUCUGGUGAUACUUAUCUGGUGAUCACAAGAUAUAAAUCCACUAUUACCAGUACCAUUAUCUGGUGAUCACAGAACCAUUUGAAAAUGAUCAAAAUGUACUCCUUUUCAGUUAAUAUAGAGUACUGAAACUGAAAAUGUGCAUACUGAAACUGAAACUGAUCAAAUGGAGUACAAAACCAUUUGAAAAUGACCAAGAUGAUCAAAAUGGUCAAAUGGAGUACUCCUCAAUUAACGUAGAGUAGUUACAGUCCUGGAAACAGCCUCUUACAGAAAUGUAGGGAAAGGCUGCGUACUAUAGACCCAAAGUGGUCGGACCCUUCCCUGGACCCUGCGCAAGCGGGAGCUACAUGCACCAGGUUGCCCUUUAGUUACAGUAAUUAUCAUAUCAUCUUGCCCUCUUUAAUAGUCAAUCAACUGUCACUAAUCGAGUGUUGUUUACUCCAACAAUUAUCUUAUUUUUAAUUGUCACUCCUACAAGCAUUUCUUUCUCUUCUCUUUCUGGCUAAUCACUCCACACAAUUUAAAUGAUCAUUCAAGUUCCUUUUGCAAAUUCAAGUUUUUGUAAUGAACUACUUAUAAGAUGGAGUAUGUUCCUUUUGCCUCCCUUGUUAAGCAGUAGUUGUAGAGUACUCCUUUUCAAGAUGUCACCAAGAGUGGCUCCGACUGAGUUAUCACCAAGAGGGGGUCGGCACAGAUUUGUCACCUCUUCAAGCGUCAUGGCAUGUCGGCGCUUGUCACCUCUUCUGGGCCAAAAUCUAACUUUGAAUCAUGCGACCAGUAUGAGCCAGAGCUAUUUCCUGGUUUGAUUUCUCCUGGGUGUACUAUGCUUUCUAGUGUCUGAUCUGAUGGCAAGAAUACUGUGUCGACGGUCAACCUGGACUGUAAAUUGGAUCUGAAAGCAAUAGCUCUCCAGGCAUGCAAUGCAGAGUAUAACCGCAAGCAUGUGGUAGAAUGGAGAAAAGGAUACUCAGGGCAUGGAUGAGGAGGCUAAGCAGCAAUUUUGCAUCACGUGCAGAAUUACAUAACAGCAGAGGAUCCUCACCCAUGGUGCUUUUAUUGGUUAACUAUUUACUAUUGCGAAUGCAGAGUGUUAAUUUUUCCAGAAUUUGUUUAACGAAAUUACUGUGAACAUGACCCUUUCCAUGACGAUUUUCACACGACCUUGUGAUCAAUGGUUGCGGCCCAUGUGAAACGAGGUGAUCAAUGGCUGCUAUAUUGUCGUGUAGAAAUCGGGCAUGAAUCCAUUUUUGAACAAGUGAGUUGUUAUGCUUCUGUACUUUUUAACUUCCAUCCCCCAAAAAUUUGGUAGAUGACUAUUGUAUUGACCAUGUUAGUCAGGGUAAUGUGCAUAAGACCUUGCUGAAGUCAAUAUGAUAUAUGCUCCAUACAGUCAGUUAACUUGAUUCUUCAUGACUAUUCAAUGGACUCUGCUUUGCAAACUAAACAUUAUUGUCUGAUUCUGUAGUGUUUUGUUUCAGGAGCUACUUGUGGUGGUACUACGGUAAGUUGAUGUGAAAUCCUCUAUUCGCUACUAUAUAUUAAGAGUUGAUGUGAAAUCCCACAAUUUUUGUUAUGUAGGUAGUCAAAAUAUUUUCAGUCUGCAUACUUGUACAAGCAUUUUUUUAACUGAAACUUGUAUAAGGAUCAGAUCUAGGAUAUUUUGACUCUCUUCUCAAAAAAUAUAUUGCAUAGCAAUAGUUAGUUUGACAUUGCUGUUGUACCAAUUUGAGUAUGAGAUGAUAUUAGAGGCACUAUGAAGUGUAAAUAUGGAAGUAAUUGUCUGCCCUCUUUUUUUGUAUUCUUUUAGCUUAAGCUUACACUGACUGCUCAAUAAAAUUUCUUCUGAUGUUUUUUAUUUUCUUUUCUCUAAUGAUGGUCUGAUGCAUGACCAAUUCAUUUCUCCCUUCUAUCUGAUUGCCGGUUUGGUGACGACUUUCUGAUAAUUUGUAUGUCUUUUUGGACUGGUCAUUAGUUUCUGAAAUUAAGAUACUCUGAUUUGGGAGGGAUAGAUGGGUACAUACUGUUUUCACAUUGCAGGAGAGAUAAUUGUGAUCAUUUGGCUAUUGUGAAUACUGUUUCUGUGUAAUCAGAUUCUCAAAGGUGUGUUGCCAACGAAGGUGAAGGCUAGAUGUUCUGCUCUUGUGUCUGAACAAUCUGUAGUUGCCAGCAUGUUUUUUCUUAACAGUUUUCAGUCUACUUGCCCAUGAUGUAUAUACAAUUUAUACAGUUCCAUUAAACUUGCUUCUAUGUUCUUUUGUUGUGAAAAUACAUCGGUUCAUGGUCACUGAAUAAACUCAUGUUGACUAUUGUCGGCAGAGGUGAAGAUGUAACGAAGAUGGCGUGAUAUAGAGGUACAUAAAAAUGGGAUCAAAUAACAAGAGAAGAAUUUGUGUUGGUGUUGAUGCUUGCCUGAAUUGUAUUAUGGUGUGCGCAUUCUCCGGGUGUGCAUUGAGUGUACCUCAUGUUGACUAUUGUCGCCGGAGGUGAAGAUGUAGAUGAAGAUGUCGUGAUGUCGAGGUACAUGAAAAUGGGAUCGAAGAACAAGAGAAGAAUUAGUGUUGGUGUUGAUGCUUGCCUGAAUUGUAUUAUGGUGCGCGCAUUUUCUGGGUGUGCAUUGAGUGUACCUCAUGUUCACUAUUGUCGGCGGAGGUGAAGAUGUAGAUGAAGAUGUCGUGAUCUCGAGGUACAUGAAAAUGGGAUCGAAGAACAAGAGAAGAAUUUGUGUUGGUGUUGAUGCUUGCCUGGAUUGUAUUAUGGUGCGUGCAUUCUUCGGGUCUGCAUUGAGCGUACAUGAUUGCUUGAAAAUACCAAUAUCUCGGCAAGUUUGGGUUAUAUAUAACUAGAACGACAUGGACACUGCUCCAUUUGACAAGUUUUGAUUUUUUUUAGCUAGAAACAAUACCUACACGAGCGCUCAAGAUGAUAAAUGUGUUCACUUACAUUUUGGGUGCAUGUCACCCAAAUUUUUUGGGGUGCAUUAGUAGACAUUACAGACUAUCUUAUAGAUUU